GACUCAGAAGGGCAAACAUACUUAACAUCCGGGGCUCGUGAUGAUGUCAUUCCCCUCCUGCUGUCACCUACAGCACACAUGACUCUUGGACCAGCUCUACUCCAUGCCUGCAGCUUUCCUUGGAUAACGUCCUAUGAUCUUAGUGCCUCCAACAUACUUGGAGUCUCCUUUGCAGUCCAGGCUUCACCUUCUCAGAUCCACGCGAUAUCUCUCAAGGCCUUCUGGCAGGAAAUCCAAGCCUGCCAUGUACCGCCUAGCUUCAACAGCUUUCUGGAACCUUGGUGCAAGUCUCCAUGACCACCUCCUCAAGUAUCUAUGACUGCAAAACUAACACCACCUGGAUGACAGUGCCAAGUUCUGCUGUCAGCUCAAGGUUCCCUCCUCCCAAACGUGCCUGCACUGUUACAAGACCCGGAGUCUUCAAUGUGCGAAGUGCGGAGGGUGUCUCGACCUAAGGGCGUAUUUCCUGUUGUCUCGGUGCAGAGCAAGAGAAUGCCCAAAUACAAGCAACUCCUAGAAGGAUGUAUUCCGGCUUACAGACUGAGGAUACGGGCCAUCGUGGCAGGAGCGUGAGGUGGCUGGUCACAUCCUGGCUGCGGCUAGGAAACCAAAGGAGGUGGGGGCUGCCGGUGUGUCUACUGAUGGAUGCGUGGAUGGACAGACUGCAAUGAUUCCGACUUAAAAGAGCAGGGAACUCUGACAUCUGCUCCGAGACGACCCGUGAGAAUAUUUUGGGAAAUGAACGAGGAGACGGGAAUGCCAAGGGGACCCGGCGCUGACUUCCCUACAGGACUUCCAGGACUUCCAGUCCCUUUCCACAAAGGAGGGCUUGGACGACUGUUGGGCCCUGGGAGUUGGGACACGACUUCAAACUGCUGUACCAGGAGAUUUACAUGGCCCUGGGACAGUGAAGAUAUGGGACCAGUCAAAACAAUCCCGGGACUUUUGCCUGAAUGACCUUCUGAGAAAGGGGUCAGAAGGAAUGAAAUGAGACGCGUAAACAGCAAGAGACACAGUUGCUGACGCCAGGGUUGGAACUCCCGGACCCAGAGCGCCUAGAUUCCUCAACUCUUCCUUCACCAAACCAAUUUGUUUUCUGUUUUAGGGGUGUGUGUGUGUGUAUGUGUGUGUGUGUGUGUCUGUGUGUGUCUGUGUCUGUGUGUCUGUACACACAUGAAGGCCGGAGGUCAACCCUGGACAUCUAUCUUCCUUAUUCACUACCUUUUUAAAGGCAGGGUUUCCUCUUGAACCUGGAGCUCACUGACUGAGCUAGUCUGGCUGGCUACAAGCUGUGGGGAUCUCCUGUCCCUGCCUCCCCGGCACUGGGAUUGCAGGCACGUGCCGCCAGGCGUGGUGCUCUUUUGUAAGUUCUGGGGGAUUAAACUCAGGCCCUCGUGUUUGCAUGACAAGCUCUGUAACACCUGAGUCAUCUCCCCGGGUUGAGGGCUUUUCCUUUGUUUGCUUAUGAAUAUUUUAAACUAUUUAUUUAUGGUGCUGGGGACCGAGCACAGGGCCACGGGCAUGCUGAGACCUCCUCCUCCACGGUUCCCAGGCGAACUUUGCAAAGGCUUCCUGGGUGGGGCACCUGCCUCCUGGUGACCUUUAUUUGACGUCACAUCACGGCCAAGUGUGAGGGCAGAGAUCCAGUCAGUCUGGGAAGAACCAGGUCGUUAUCAUCCCCACCUCUGCUCCUUCCAGAGGCCACCAUGAGCCCCUCAUGUCACAGCCUUCCCUUUCCCUGGUGGCUUCUAAGCCAGCUUAUGUCCCUCGGCUGCUCACACUCUCCCGUGGCUGCCUUCAGGCAUGAGCUAGCGUCCCACGAGCCUGUAGGCCUUCCACUGGGCCGUGUCACCUGCUUUUCCUCACCCUGCCACGCUCCCCAGUCUUCCGAGAUUCUGAAACUCAGGGCCUCUGCAUCAUCCAAGGAGUCUCCUUCAUUCAGAGGGCUACCCCCUCUCUCCCAUGAGGCCUGGCUCUGAGAUCAGACCCCACCGAGGCCUGCCAGCCAUCGCCUGCGAUAGCAGACAUGUCUGCCCUAGCCUUCCUAGCCCAGGAACCCAGCCCUCGCUUCCCCAGAAACGCUGUGCCCAGGAGACACCAGCUGGAGACUUGUCUUCACCCCGUAGGCACCCCACGAGGGCGGGAACUUCAUCUUGCCCACACGUCUCAAGAUCUGGAAUGGUGCCCGGCGUGGUAAUGAAUAAAGCCUGUGGGAUAA